rnacentral:ribozyme from 12 species
AAAAAAAAAAAAAAAAAAAAAAAAAACAGGAAAAGUACGUGCAGAACACAACAAUUGAUUCAUUUGAACUUGUAUUCCUCCUUUUUUUAUUUUCUUCACAAAAAGUUGUACUGAGGAAGGUUUAAAGUUGUGCGGCCAAAAAGAAUAUGUUCCCUUUUCCAAAAAAAAAACUUGUGCCGAAUCUUUACUUUUGUUGU